GCAAAUGCCAAGACACAAUAGCUGAAGUAAAAAACAUUUUUAAUUGUUUACAAUGGUAACACCUGUUAGGAGAUACUGAUGUAAGAACCAAGGAUAAAUCUAACACAGAUCUGAAUCUACUGCUUUCCGAUAUAUCUGCAAAGCUUAUUUAGAUUCUUUAUCCAUUUAAGGGCCUGAAGCUCUUCUAGCUGGAUCAUUACACAUAUCCUCACUUCCUUUCGCUAAGCAAUUAUCAAGCUUGAUCAUUACACAUACCUAUAGAUAAGCCACAGGUUCUAUCCUCAGUCCUCACUUCCUUUUGCUAAGCAAUUUUCUUAAACCAGACCCAAAAAAAUGUCGCCGGACUAUCGACCUUAGUUCCCAGGCCUAUGUUUCUACUGUUUGAUAUGAUCCGCUAAAUAUGCAUUUACUUCUAUAUUUCUGUUCAAUGUUGAUUCGUUAUCAUAUUCAAUUUUGGCGCCUUGAUUAAUUACUACACUUCAAUAACCUCUAAAAUCGGAUCACAAUAAUAUCAAUGGACCAUAGAUUUCAAAAGCUUUUCAAUUAGUUAGCUCAAAAACAUUGAAUUCAAAUCUUAAACACCAAAUCAGUGAAGAAAUAUAAGAAAAGGUCGAUUGAAUCUAUACACAAAACAGAAAGCGAAUCAUAGAAGCUUAG
rnacentral:misc_RNA from 1 species